rnacentral:rRNA from 1 species
UACGGGGGGGGCAAGCGUUGUUCGGAAUUACUGGGCGUAAAGGGCUUGUAGGUGGCCAACUAAGUCAGACGUGAAAUCCCUCGGCUUAACCGGGGAACUGCGUCUGAUACUGGAUGGCUUGAAUUCGGGAGAGGGAUGCAGAAUUCCAGGUGUAGCGGUGAAAUGCGUAGAUAUCUGGAGGAGUACCGGUGGCGAAGGCGGCAUCCUGGACCGACAUUGACGCUGAUGAGCGAAAGCUAGGGGAGCAAACGGG